CAAAAGAUAUGAAUAGAAAAUUCAAUUUAAGUUUUAAUUUAGUUUAAGUUAGUCCAUAUUUUUACUUUUUAUUGACUCCUUUCAAAAGAGGUAAGAUCCGGUGAAUCGGAAACAAUUAAUUAAGAAUUCAAAACUUUUUUAUGGAACAGACAUAUGAAUAUGCGUGGAUCAUACCUUUCAUUCCACUUCCAGUCCCUAUGUUAAUAGGAGCGGGACUUAUUCUUUUUCCAACGGCAACAAAAAGUUUUCGCCGUAUGUGGGCUUUUCAAAGUGUUUUAUUGUUAAGCAUAGUCAUGAUUUUUUCAAUCUACCUGUCUAUUCAGCAAAUAAAUAGCAGUUCUUUUUCUCAAUAUGUAUGGUCUUGGAUCAUUAAUAAUGAUUUUUCUUUAGACUUCGGAUACUCGAUCAACCCACUUACUUCUAUUAUGUUAAUAUUAAUCACUACUGUUGGAAUUAUGGUUCUUAUUUAUAGUGAUAAUUAUAUGGCUCAUGAUCAAGGCUAUUUGUGAUUUUUUGAUUAUAUGAGUUUUUUCAGUACUUCCAUGUUGGGAUUAGUUACUAGUUCAAAUUUGAUACAAAUUUGUAUUUUUUGGGAAUUGGUUGGUCUGUGUUCCUAUCUAUUUAUAGGAUUUUGAUUUACAUGACUUGUUGCGGCAAAUGCUUUUCAAAAAACCUUUGUAACUAAUCGUGUUGGGGAUUUUGUUUUAUUAUUAGGAAUUUUAGGUUCUUAUUGGAUAAAGGGGAGUUUCGAAUUUAGGGAUUUAUUCGAAUUAUUCAAUAACUUGAUUUAUAAUAAUGAGGUCAAUUUUUUAUUUGUUACUUUAUGCGUUGUUCUCUUAUUUUUUGGUGCAGUUGCUAAAUCCGCCCAAUUCCCCCUUCAUGUAUGGUUACCUGAUACCAUGGAGGGGCCUACUCCUAUUUCGGCUCUUAUACAUGCUGUUACUAUGGUAGCGGCGGGAAUUUUUCUUAUAGAUCGGCUUCUUCCUCUUUUCAGAGUUAUACCUUACAUAAUGUAUUUGAUCUCGAUUAUAGUAAUAAUAAUAGUAUUAUUAGGAGCUACGUUAGAUCUUUCUCAAAAAGACAUUACGAGAGGUUUAGCCUAUUCUACAAUGUCUAGAUUGGGUUAUAUGAUGUUAGCUCUAGGUAUGGGGUCUUAUCGAAGCGCUUUAUUUCAUUUGAUUACUCAUGCUUAUUCCAAAGCAUUAUUAUUUUUAGGAUCCGGAUCCAUUAUUCAUUCAAUGGAAACUAUUGUUGGAUAUUCUCCAGCUAUAAGCCAGAAUAUGGGUCUUAUGGGAGGUUUAAGAAAACUUGUACGAAUUACGAAAAUCACAUUUUUAUUAGGUACACUUUCUCUUUGUGGUAUACCACCUCUUGCUUGUUUUUGGUCCAAAGAUGAAAUUCUUAAUGAUGGUUGUAUUCACCAAUUUUCGCAAUAAUAGCUCGGACCACGGCGGGAUUAACUGCAUUUUAUAUGUUUCAGAUCUAUUUACUUACUUUUGAAGGGCAUUUAAAUGUUCAUUUUCAAAAUUAUGGUGGGAAACACAAAACCCCUUUCUAUUCAAUAUCUCUAUGGGGUAAAAACGGAAUUAAGAAAAACUCUUGUUUAUUAACAAUGAAUAAUAAUGAAAGUACUUAUUUUUUUUCAAAGACUAAAUAUCCAAUUGAUAAAAAUGAAAGAAAUAUGACACGACCUUUUAUGACUAUUGCUCAUUUUGAGCAUAAAGCGGUUUAUUCCUAUCCUUAUGAAUCGGACAAUACUAUGUUAUUCCCAAUAUUUGUAUUAGGACUCUUUACUUGGUUUGUUGGAUCGAUUGAAAUUCAUUUCAACCAAGAUGGAGUUAAUUUGGAUAUAUUAUCGAAAUGGUUUGCUCAAUAUAUAAAUCUUUUGCAUCAAAAGUCGAAUAAUUCGAUGGAUUGGAAUGAAUUUUUAAAGGAUGCAGUUCUUUCAGUUAGUAUAGCUUAUUUCAGAAUAUUUAUAGCAUCCCUUUUAUAUAAACCCAUUUAUUCUUCUUUAAAAAAUUUGGAGUUAAUUAAUUUUUUUGUUAAAAAGGGUCCUAAGAGAAUUCUGUGGGACAAAAUUAUAAAUGGCAUAUAUGAUUGGUCAUAUAAUCAUGCUAACGGGGUUGGGGUUAUUAGUUUCAUUCUAAGAGAAGGUAUCAAAUAUAUAGGGGCGGACGCAUCUCUUCUUAUCUCUUCUUGUAUUUAGCUUAUGUUUCCGUCUUUUUAUUAGUUUAUUACUUACUUUUUUCUACUUUUUGAUUUUUGAAUCAAAUUCAGAUAAGAAUCUUUUUUAUCAUAAAUUUCACAAUUACUAGUAUUAAUAUUUUUAUAGCCUCUCUCUGUAAGGUGAGAGUGGAAUUUAUCCUUUAUUUUGUCCUUUUCAUUCACUUGAAUUUCUUCCAUUUCAUCGAUUUUGUCCGGAUCCGACCCUUCUUCUGAAAAAAGGGAAUGAGAAAGAUAAGGAUCUUCUUCAGUAGAUCCCUCUUGAAAAAGGGAAGGAGAAGGAUAAAGAUCUUCUUCAGUGGAUCCCUCUUGUUCCUGUUUAGUCCCCUUCAUUUUGAAAGCAGUUUCUACAUCUCUUUCUUCCUCACUUUCCUCCCUUUCUUCUAUUUUUGAGGCCUCUUUCAGUUUCUUAGCUUCUUUUAGUUUCUUAGUAAGAAUGGGUGAGGGUAUUCUACCUAAAUAGUAGACACAGGUAAUAAAUAAGAGAAUACUAAAGAUUUGAGCCAUAGAAUUUUUCAAUUCUAACACAAGGUACUUAUUAGAUCGAAUGUACUUAUUAGAUUGAAUGUACUUAUUCGAUCUAAUAGAAUGAUUUUUUUGUAUCCAGACUAAUACCAAUCCAAGCCAUUUCAUGAAAAAAAUAUGACCAAUUAACCAACCAACAAAACUACUUGUUACAAAUAAGAUCUUGUUGUUGCAUCGAAAGAGAUAAAUGUUGACUAAUCUGGCUAACAUUGAACUUGGUAAAAUGAAAUGAUUGAAUAAUUGAAAAAUGAGAUUAUUCAGGAAUACACAUUGAAUGUUGAGAUUACGCAUUGAAUUUCUGGUAGUAGAUCCAUAAUUAAAAAAGUGUUUGAUAUUGUUCCAGAAGAAAUAAAACAAAAGAUAUGGUAGAGCUAGGAUAGUUAUUGUAUGAGGUAUACCCAAUGCUAGAUGCAGAGGCACAUAAUAGAUUGAUAUGACCAUAUGAGUUAUCCCAUUAUAAAACCAGUUGUUGCUGAUACCUUCUUCUCGGUUCCUUCUUCCAUAACCAGAUCUCGGGGAAGGAAGAGAUAAGAGGGCCCUAUGGAGAAUAUGGUAAAAAAUCCAUAAUAGAGUCCGACUACAACGACUAAAUUUAUUAUCUUCAUGCAUAGGAAUACUAGAUUACCUAGUAGAAAAGAUUGAAAAAUCAUCACAAACCUCCCUUAUUUCUUUUUCUAUUGCAAUUUUUGGAUUAUUAUAUGAUGAUUUUUUCACUUUCCAUAUAUAGAAAAGAAAUAGAAAGAGAUAGACUAGAAAUAAAAUCUGUUAUAUCAAUGAGACCAAAGGGAUAUUAAAUGAAUUGAAUUGGGAUAUGGAUGGAAUAUAAUGAAAUAGAUCCACUUUAAGGUUCUCUCUGAAAUGAAGCAUGUAAGGGAGUCACUACGAAGAAGUUUUGGGAGUUACGAAGGAAGUUUUGAGCUCAUAUUGGUCAUGGGUUGGGAACAGGAAUUGAACUCUAUGAGAUCAAAUCUCCUAUUGUUCCUCAAUAGCUCAGUGGUAGAGCGGUCGGCUUUUAACCGAUUGGUCAUAGGUUCGAAUCCUACUUGGGGAGAUUUGAUGGAUUUUGAAUUAAAUAAUUCAGAAUAAAUGGGCUCGCUUUGCCCGUUAACAAUAGGUAACGCGUUCCCUAUCUUUGUUUCUAUUGCAUUCUAUCUCAUCUUAUUACAUUCUAUUCUGCGAGAUUAGAAAAUAACCAUCAAUACCUUGGUUUAGGUCCGAGAUAAUACUUUGUUCCAUAGCCCUGGGGUGGGGCUAUUUAAAGCUAGCCAAUUAAGAAGUCUUAGAUGUACUAGCACUGUAUCUUUGAUGCAGUCAUCGAUUCUCCUGAGAGGUCACAAUUGCUGUAGUAAAGAUAUUAAUGAUGAGGAAGGAUUUUUUGUUAUGCUACUAAUACUUUCUCUGCUAUUCUGCCCAAGCCUGGCUGAGGAAGAUGUGUGGGGUGUAAAACCAAAAAAUAUGCCGAUCGGGCAUACUAUGUGUAAUGAUUCCCCCAUUCACGAUAAAUAAAAAUAAAAAGAAAAAACAAAAGCUAUUCCAUUUUGACAAAAGACCCACACCCAAGUUCCAUAGCUCUUGGUUCGUUAUCCCGAUCAUGAUUUUGCUACCCCCAGAGGGAAAGGUACUUCCCUUUUGGGAUGGUUGUGGGCGAGGAGGGAUUCGAACCCCCGACACCAUGGUUCGUAGCCAUGUGCUCUAAUCCUCUGAGCUACAGGCCCCACUCUGUCUCCACUGGAUCUGUUCCCGGGAUUACCCUAAAAAAAACCUUUCCUCUCCUCAGCCAUUUUGGGUUAAGAAGAUAUGAAAGCAUAUUUAUCUCUAUAAGAAGGGUGCCUUCUGAGGUGUGAAGUGGGAGAGAAGGGAUGUCACAAUUGGGGUUUUGAAUAAAAUGACCUUUUGAUUUUUCUUUUGAUUUUUCAUUUUUUUUCUUUUUCAUAUAAAAUAAGAAUGAGAGGUGUUAAGAUUUUUAUCAUCCUAGCAUCGAGCUAUUUUUCCGUAGGACCUCCCCUACGGUAUCGUUACCACAGUAGAGUUUAAACACCAAGUUCGAGAUAGAUUGGUGUGGUUCCUCUAUGCCUAGGAUACCAGAAUAUCGAACCAUGAACAAAGAAAGGCAUGAGAGAAAAGCAUAUUGGCUAGUGAUUAUGAGGCCCCAAUUCUAGACUGGAUGGGACACCAAAGGACUCUGCCCUUCCAUCCCUUGGAUAGAUAGAGAGGGGGAUAGAGCUUUUGGUUUUUUCAUGUUGUCAAAGAUUUGAACAAUAAAAUUAGAUGGAAAGUGCCUGAUCGAAUUGAUCAGGUCAUAUAGGAACAAGGUUCAAGUAUACCAGUCUAUUAGGAUGCCUCAACUUCAUACAUCACUGCACUUCUACUUGACACCUAUCAUAAUGAUAAAUGGCUCAUCUCGCUGUGACCUUCUCUUGAAUUCUCAAAAAAACUUCUGUCGCUCUAUCUCCGCAGAGGCAGAGAACCCAUCGCUAUCUCGGUUGUGCUACUGGAAGCUCUGGGGAAGUCAGAAUAGGAGAGCACUUAUCUUGGAGUGGGCUUACUACUUAGAUGCUUUCAACAAUUAUCUGCUCCGCACUUGGCUACCCAUCGUUUACCAUGGUCAGAAUAACUGGUACACCAGAGGUGUGUCCUUUCUGGUCCUCUCGUACUAGGGAAAGGUCCUCUCAAUGCUCUAACACCCACACCAAAUAUGGACCAAAUUGUCUCACGACGUUCUGAACCUAACUCACGUACCACUUUAAUUUAUAAACAGCCUAACCCUUGGAACAUACUACAGCCCCAGGUGGUGAAGAGACGACAUCGAGGUGCCAAACCUUCCCCUCGGUGUGAGAUCUUGGGGAAGAUUAGCCUGCUAUCCCUAGAGUAACUUUUAUCCAUUGAGCGACGGCCUUUCCACUCGGCACCAUUGGAUCACUAAGGCUAACUUUCUUUCCUGCUCGAUGGAUGGGUCUUGCAGUUAAGCUUCCUUCUACCUUUGCACUCGAGGGCCAAUCUCCGUCCGGCCCUAGGAAACCUUUACAUGCCUCCAUUACCUUUUGGAGGCCUACGCCCUAUAGAAAUUGUCUACCUAAGACUGUUCCUUGGCCCGUAGGUCCUAACACAAGGUAAGAAUUUUAUCCCUUCUAGAGUGGUAUCUCACUGAUGACUUGCGGCCCCCCGAAAGGAGGCCUUCUUCGCCUUCCACCUAAGCUGCAUAGGAAAGGCCCAAAUCUAUUCCCAGGGAACAGUGAAGCUUCAUAGGGUCUUUCUGUCCAGGUGCAGGUAGUCCGCAUCUUUAUAGACAUGUCUAUUUCACCGAGCCUCUCUCUGAGACAGUGCCCAGAUCAUUAUGCGAUCAUUAUUCCUUUCGUGCGGGUGGAAACUUACCCGAGAAGGAAUUUUGCUACCAUAGGACCGUUAUAGUUAUGGCCGCCGUUCACCAGGGCUUCGGUCGUCGUCUCCCCUGUCAUCAGGCCAAUAACUUCCUUGACCUUCCAGCACUGGGAAAGUGUCAGCCCCCAUACAUGGUCUUACGACUUUGUGAAGACCUGUGUUUUUGGUAAAUAGUCACCCGCGCCUGGUCACUGUGACCCCCUUUGUGAUGUGAAGAGGCACCUCUUCUCCCAAAGUUACAUGGCUAUUUUGUUGAGUUCCUUAGAGAGAGUUGUCUCGCGCCCCUAGGUAUUCACUACCUACCCACAUGUGUCAGUUUCAAGUAUAGGUACCCUCUUGCUCAAAGUCGUUUGAGCUUUUCCUGGGAGUAUGGCAUGGGUUACUUCAGCGCCGUAGAGCCUGGUAGUCGAACAUUGGCUCGAGGCAUUUUCUCUACCCCUUCUUACCCUGAAAAGGGGCAGGGAUACCUUACGUUCUUGAACUAAUAACCAUCUUUUGGCUAACCUAGCCUCUUCUGUCCCUCGGGACCAACAAGGGGUAGUACAGAAAUAUUCUCCUGUUGUCCAUCGACUAUACCUUUUGGCCUAAUCUUAGGCCCUGACUCACCCUCCAUGGACAAACCUCGCGAAGGAACCCUUAGGUUUUUGGGGCAUUAGAUUCUCACCAAUGUUUGCGUUACUCAAGCCGACAUUCUCACUUCUGCUUCAUCUACCACCGCUCACACAGAGGCUUUUCUCUAAGGCAAAAUGCUCCCCUAUCGAUGUAUUUUUACACCCCACAGCCUUUGCAGAUUGCUUAGCCCCAUUCCUUUUCGGUGCAAGAACGCUUGAUCAGUAAGCUAUUACGUACUCUUUCAAGGGUGGUUGCUUCUAGGUAAACCUCCUGGCUGUCUCUGUAACCCUACCUCCUUUAUCAUUGAGCGGCUAUUUAGGGUCCUUAGCUGGUGAUCCGGGUUGUUUCCCUCUCAACAAUGAAUCUUAUCCCCCAUCAUCUCACUAGCCGACUUUGACCUCUCUUUUUUAAUUUUAAGGCCAUACCUAGUAUUCAGAGUUUGCCUCGAUUUGGUACCGCUCUUGCGGCCUACAUCAAAGCAGUGUUUUACCCCUAGAUGUCUAGUCAACUGCUGAGCCUCAACGUAUUUCGGGGAGAACCAUCUAGCUCUGGGUUCGAGUGGCAUUUCACCCUAACAACAACUCAUCCACUAAUUCUUCAACAUUAGUCGGUUUGGAUCUUCACUUAGUUUUACCCAAGCUUCAUCCUGGUUAGGGAUACAUCACCCAGGUUUGGGUCCAUAAGCAGUGACAAUUUCCCUAUGAAGACUCACUUUUGUUAUGACUCUGGUGGGUUCCCUUAACCAAGCCACUGCCUAUGAUU
rnacentral:lncRNA from 1 species